GGAUGGAAAGAAGCGCAAUGUCCGACAAAACGCCGGACCAGCAUUCAAAAAUAUUACUGCUCUGGUUGUAAAACGAAGAGCAGGCUCAAUGUGUUGUCUCCUUUCCCGGCGAACAUUGUGCUAUUUUUUUUUUUGAAGAAUUUUCUGCUGGUAUAGCCGUUAUAGGCUGAUUUUUCUGAGCGUUUCUAUGGUACAUGUUUGUACAGGUUGGGACAAAAGUUUACGGCACACGCGAGCGACGUAUUCUUUCUCCGGUGCGACACCCUAGCGGCUGCCGGAAGCGACCUGUGAGACGAAUGCAAAAGUGAAGCGGUGCAAGUUGUACUCUCCAAAAGGAAUACAAAAGUGCUUCCCUUUUACACUGGAUGCAAGGGGUGCGGCGCAAAGACCAAACCUAUUGAACCGAUGAGUCUGCGAAGGACCAGGCGCGUGUCAAGCGAAUUGUUCGACGCUUUCAAGGCCUCUCGAAGCUCGGAGCUCAAGAGACUGGUUUUCUACAAGUCCCGACGGAAACUAGCUGCCCUGCCUCGCAGGACGGCUUCUGUUAGGUUCCCCUUUUCUUGCCCUUUUCUGCUUUCUUUCUGCCAAUAAAUUCCACCACCACCCCUUGGUAGAUCCUUGGUAGACGAUAAGUGACUUGGAAGAAGAAGCUGCCGAAGAUGCCAAGGUAACCCACGCGCCACGCUCAAUCGCGUAUCGUCCUUCGAAUGAACAUUGGUGUCAACCACUGGAGCUCCCCCUCGUUGGUUCUGCCUAUGACGGACGCGACAAACCCUACAGAGGUCGACGUCCCUGAGGAGAAAGGCCGGCUAGACUCGCAGCACCAGGAGUCGUCUCUACUGAUCCGACUGUCAUUUGACGGCGUCGCCAUGGCCACCAUCGUGGUUGGCUGCUUCCUCAUGCUCGGGUUUUCGCUCAAGAGAGACGAGGAACUUCUCGGCGUACUGGACCGCUACCGAGAUCACCUGGACCGGAUAGGCUCAGUGGCUAAACAGAGCAGAGAGUCUAUGAAGGACCAGGCGGAUGUCAAGCAAAUCCUUCGACGCGUUGUAGGCCUGUUGAAGCCCGAAGUUCCAGAGGCUGUCUUUCUACAAAGCCCGACCGACGCUGCAGACCUCGCAGGACACCCUCUAUUACGCACAGUCGACACCGCCCUGCGCACGAGCUCCAGGGGAAGGAGGGCAUCCUGGAUAGCUUGUCAAGAGUGGCAAUGCGAACAUAAGCUUACAACCGUUAGAAAAACUAGCUGUUCGUGAAAGCGACAUCUUUCAACCGCGAUACAAAGCGGAUCAUACGACGACGGGAAUUCAGGCUGAUUUAGCUUCACCUUCACUUGGUACCGGUAACUGUAGUGUGGAUUGCACUGUAUCACUUCAAAUCCUCGAAGAUACCCUUGAAAUAUUAGUCAACAGCAGCGUGCAUGCAGUUGUUGCAGAGAUGGCUUUGAGCGUGAAAACAUAAUAUCUUGUGAGUAAAUUCACUUCGAGGAACGCUACGGGUCCUGCUAGAAGACACAUAGUGUAUGGGGACGGUUGGUACAUAUCCCUUGGCCAGGCGACAAAAGGCGUCGUCGCUGUCUCGUUCCUUUUGUCGCCUGGCCAAGGGUCCUGCUGUUAGUUCAAACAGUAGCGCCCACCAAGUACUCGAACUGCGAACUUCAGCAGAAGCUUCUAGUGAAGUUACUGGCGCACCAGAGGGUGGCGACGGCAUGAUACCUGAAUUGUUAUUGAAAACUUUGAAUUCCAGUCAAGAGACGGGCAACACCACGCACGCGCAUAAAAAUACCACUGCAGGCCCACCAGGGAACACAUUGACUUGCGAUGGAAACACCACUGGACCUACGGAUGCCGACAGCCAAUUACUCAAAAACACAUUGUAGCCCCUCGAUCGAAAGGACAACUACAGAUUCGUUGAAAAUUGCGACUGGAAAAAGUUCUAUUAGCAACUAUACAGCGGACAGCAGCCAUGCACAGGUAUCUACGACACCUGUUGCGUCUAUGGUGUAUCCAUCAUCGACUGCUCUGCAAACCAUUAGUUCAGAGAAUAGCAGCAGGUCACAAGAGCAAUCUGCCUAUCUACGACACCAAAAUGCCAACCAAAUGAUGCGUCCACCUCCUCUAUAAUGACGUCUCAUGACACUCGCGGCCUCCUGUAGUUCUUGUUUAGAAGCUUCUGUUGCGAAAAGCUGGUCGUAGCUGCUUCAGAUGCGGCGCUGUGACUAUGGGUUCUCUACGAGUUCGUGGGAGGCAAUGAUGUCACGAAAGCAAAGGUAGUCGCUGUGUAAAAUUCGCAUUUGCUAUGAUGUUUAACGUUCUAACGCAAUCAACACAUAAUCAUAUUACUCUCCAAUUACCAA